UGGGGAAUAUUGCACAAUGGGGGAAACCCUGAUGCAGCAACGCCGCGUGAAGGAAGACGGUUUUCGGAUUGUAAACUUCUUUUCUUAGUGAAGAAACAAAUGACGGUAGCUAAGGAAUAAGCAUCGGCUAACUACGUGCCAGCAGCCGCGGUAAUACGUAGGAUGCGAGCGUUAUCCGGAAUUACUGGGUGUAAAGGGAGCGCAGGCGGGACUGCAAGUUGGAUGUGAAAUGCCGCAGCUUAACUGCGGAGCUGCAUCCAAAACUGUAGUUCUUGAGUGGAGUAGAGGCAAGCGGAAUUUCCGAGUGUAGCGGUGAAAUGCGUAGAUAUUCGGAGGAACACCAGUGGCGAAGGCGGCUUGCUGGGCUCUAACUGACGCUGAGGCUCGAAAGUGUGGGGAGCAAACAGGAUUAGAUACCC
rnacentral:rRNA from 1 species